GACAGAGGAUGCAAGCGUUAUCCGGAAUGAUUGGGCGUAAAGCGUCUGUAGGUGGCUUUUUAAGUCCGCCGUCAAAUCCCAGGGCUCAACCCUGGACAGGCGGUGGAAACUACCAAGCUGGAGUACGGUAGGGGCAGAGGGAAUUUCCGGUGGAGCGGUGAAAUGCGUAGAGAUCGGAAGGAACACCGGUGGCGAAGGCGGGUCUCUGGGCAAUUCCUGACGCUGAGGCGCGAAAGCGAGGGGAGCAAACAGG
rnacentral:rRNA from 1 species